GAGAAGCCUGAGGCCAGAAAGCAGCAGCAACUGGUGACAUCCCAGCCCUUGUCUUUGCCUGCAAAGAAUGGAGGCCUGGAAUUCCUACCAGAAGAUACAGAAACAACCAACAUGCAUAGACAAGCUGCUUGGAGGCCAGGAUGUACAAACAGAGAAAUGUCGUUUCCCACCAACCAGAAUGGUCCUAAUGAUGUACUACUCUUAGGUAAAUUGAGCCAAUAAUCACUGGAAUCAUUUCCUGUGUGCCCAGUGCAGAUGGGAAAACAACUGAGAAGCCAUCUGCCCUGGCUGAAAAAAUAUGGCCAUCAGACCCGUGUGCGCCCCUGGGCGGUGAUGCCGGUGGAGAACCACUGUGCCAAUGCCAGAGUGGCCCCAGGGCAAAUCAGUUUGGGCCUGGUUGUCACCGUUCUCCUCCAGGCUAGAUGCACGCAUGCCACGCCCACCCAGGAAUCGAGUCCCCAGACCUCCUUGGCUCGGGUCUUCCCUUCUUCCAAAGAUGUGACCAACCAGCCAGGCUCCUGCCUAUUGCCCAGAGUCCACACAUCCCUGUCCGUCAGGCUGCUUUUCCCUUUUCCUCAGCGAGCAACUCAGCACUCCAGGGCCAUCUCUCCCCACCAGUCUCCUUGAGGGACCUGCCAGAGGGAUUGCCCGAUGGCAGAGGCCCAUAAUUGGUUGCAGGCCUGUCUGUGAGCCUGGCCUUCAUAUUUUCUCCUCCACCCUUUGACCUGAGGGCCCCCUUCCCCCGGAGCUACAGGUGGGCAGAGGCAGUAGAACCACAGAGAUCAGGACUGCAGGAGCCCAGCCUGCCUUGUCGCUGGGCCCGUGCAGAGAUGCACUCAGCCCCGGCCUGAGCUCCCCCAUCUGCCACACCAUGGAUAGCUGCUGGACCCGGCCGCCUUAUGACGAGUGGAUCUGACGGUGACCAUGUCCAGUCACACGGUCACAUGAUGCCCAUCACCAGAUGCUCAGGCCCUCCAGGGGCCCUGGAGCAUUCCAGAAGCUGGGCUCCUGACCUAGCUCUGCUUCGGCAUUCUGAGCGUUUACAUAGCAACCUCUUACCAGGGCUGGCCCCAGCUGCACCUGGGGCCGUGUCUACCACCAUCAGAUCUGCAGGUCAUAUGACUACAGAGCAGCUUGACCACAGUCUGAACCUUCUGGAGAGAGAGAGAGAGAGAGAGAGAGAGAGAGAGAGAGGAUUCUCUUGCUCUGGGCCCCUCCCAUGCAGUCACCUGAUGAGUGGGUUGGGGCUGCAUUUCCAAGGGUGUUGUCUGCUGCAUCCUGGGGUCCCUUGGUGCUGGGGCCUCUUUCUUCAUGGUGGGAGGUGGGAGGGGCAAGAGCCUGUCCUCGCCCCCCAAAAAGGAGUUCCCAGGAUGCCCCAGGCCUCUGGAACCUUACAGUCUUCACUGAUACGGCAAGCCUCACGUGCCUCAGGAGGAUAAUAAGGGUGCUUGCACAACCUGAGUACCGUGACGUCAUCGGGAGAGUGGACCAGCAUGACAAUUGGCACAUAUCCAGACCAGCAGUUCCUUCAGUGGCAUGUCAAGCUUUUUUUUCUCUUGGAUCAAAUCCAAGUGAAACUAAAGGCAAUCCUUUAACCCUGGGAAGCCGCCGUCAUCAUAGGGUCCAUUUCCACACCAGUGACCCAGCUCCAUGUUUCCGAGCCUCUCAGGGAGGUGUCUGGAAUUAUGCUCCUUCCCAGGUUGGUGACGAUUGCUCUGAGUG